UAGGUGGAAUGGACUUGAUUUGUCUCAGAUGAAACUUUCGACUUGGACUUUCCAGUUAAUGCUGGAAAGAAUUAAGACUUUGGGGCACUGUCGAGAAGGCAUGAUUUAUUUUAAAAUGUGAGAAGAAUAUGAGAUUUGUGAGGGGUCAGGGCUGGAAUGAUAUGGUUUGACUCUGUGUCCCCACCCAAAUCUCAUCUUGAAUUGUAAUCUCCACAUGUCAGGGGAGGGACAUGGUGGGAAGUGACUGAAUAAUGGGGGUGGACUUCCCCCUUGCUGUUCUCCUGAUACUGAGUCCUUUCUCAUGCGAUCUGAUGGUUUAGAAGUCUGGCACUUCCUCCCUCGCUCUCUCUCCUGUCUCCAUAUAAGACAUGCCUUGCUUCCCCUUUGCCUUCCUCUAUGAUUGUAAGUUUCCUGAGCCCUCCCCAGCCUUGUGGAACUGUGAUUUAAUUAAAACUCUUUUCUUUAUAAAAUACCCAUUCUCAGUCUCAGGUAGUUCUCAUAGCAGUGUGAAAACAGAUUAAUACAAUGAGUGCACUCCUAAUUUUAGCACUCAAAAUCUUCUCAUGUUAGCAUUUGCUUGGUAAAUAUCUUUUUCUAUAGCACUAAGUAAAAUCUAACUACAGAUUUCAUGUGAAGACUAUUUAGAAAAGCAGGAAAGCCGAAGGUGAAGGAAUUAAUAAUUUAUAAGUUAGGGUCUGGGAGUAGCAGAGACACCAGUGCUUGCUGUUUAAGAUCUUCAGUAUUUCCUUACCAUAGACAGUCUGGGUCUCUGGAUUCCCACAUGUGAAUCUGAGUCCUGUGAGCCAGACUCAUGUCUCUUGUAGUUGAGCUACUAAAUUAUUACCUGGGACUGCCAACCUGAACAAACAGUGUUUGUUAUUCCACUUUAUCCUGUGACUCAAUCAAUUGUAAGCCUCUCAUUUGCACUUAUAGGUAUUUUCCUGACAUACUGGGUUUGGUUUAUAUUCUUCUGCAUAAGCUGCCCCUGAGUAGGAUUACCUCCCUACUAGGAAUCAUCAUGACUUUUGAGUUCUCGUUGUACUAACAAGUGGUUCUACAUCUUUUCGUGAGUAGUUAUGAGGUGACAAAUUCUUUACAACCUAAAAGAGCAGUUUGUUUCUAAACAAUGUAUCUCACACCAAGAUGAAUUGUUUACAUAACAAUAAUUAUGCAGAAGAUGAUAAUGGUAUAAUAUAUUGAAUAUAUUGAUACUGAUAUAUAUUGGAUAUGUUGCAAAUAUUAGAAAUGAGGAAAACUCAAUUGUAAUGUGGCUAUGUAUGCCAUCUUUCUUCUGUCAGUAACUAAAUUUUAAAAUCUAGUCACUGCCUCAAUGUUACACUGUGAUAGACUGCAUUAAUGGUCCUAAUUCUUCCUCCCUAACUAUAUUUGUACCCUUUGUCAUGUGAUCCUGCAAUCCUUUCCAAAAAAGAGAUGGGGCAUAUUCACUCACCUCUUCAUCCUAAACUUGGACAUACACAUUGCUUUGAUCUAUAGGGUGAUUUUUAAGAGAAGGUGCCUAGUAUGAACCUAGACCUUAAGGGGUCUGACAUAUUUCAAUGUAUUCUUUCUUGUGUCUCCGCAGUUAGCCUGGGUCACUGGGCCUGUGUCACAUUACAGUUGUCCAGUUGCCCUGGUCACUCUGGCAGAAGCCAGCCUACCUCCCUCAACAGCCCUCUGAGCUCCAGGGCGGAAUCUUUGUUUACUCACUCUGAGUACAAAUGGAAAGUCUGGAUAAUUCUGAGCUUCUGUAUUUGGAAACCCAUUGUGGCUAUUCAUAUAAACUAUCUAGUUUAAUAAAAAUAAUGUUUGUGCUUCAUU
rnacentral:lncRNA from 10 species